rnacentral:misc_RNA from 1 species
GAUUAGUCUGCUUAAUAGACAUAGGUUAGACAUUAAUUUUUUAUUAGAAUAAUAUAAUUUGAAUAAACAGUGAAAUUAAAUAUUUUACUUUACCUUCCAUUUCCUCAAAAUAACCUAACUUCACCUCUCGCACUGCACUCCUCACAAACAAAAUAAGGCAAAAAGAAAACCACGUAAAGUUUCAGUAACAAAACAAAAGGAUGGCUUGGCCUACAAUGGUGAGUACGGAGUAGCAUUCACCUAUGCGAGACUGCAGAUGAAAGCCAGAUCAAGAGGGCACACAAUCAUCCAAAAACAUGCUAAAAAGAAUCAACCAUUAUUAUUUCCAUGCUCUGGCCUCAUAUUAUUUCUGCCAUACUCCGCAUAUUUUCUCAAUAACCAAAGACUAUCCAGCACAAGCAAAAGCACUAUUGCAAAAUCAUGUUCAACCAGAAUACCCAGAACCACUCAAUUCCCGCCCUACCACCAACCCUAU